rnacentral:rRNA from 1 species
UACGUAGGGUGCGAGCGUUAAUCGGAAUUACUGGGCGUAAAGUGUGCGCAGGUGGCUUCGCAAGUCGAGUGUGAAAUCCCCGGGCUUAACCUGGGAAUUGCGCUCGAAACUACGUGGCUAGAGUGUGGCAGAGGGAGGUGGAAUUCCACGUGUAGCGGUGAAAUGCGUAGAGAUGUGGAGGAACACCAAUGGCGAAGGCAGCCUCCUGGGUCAACACCGACACUCAUGCACGAAAGCGUGGGGAGCAAACAGG